AUGGAGAGUCUGGUGUUGAAGCAGAGCCUUGGAAGAUGGUGGGAUUUCAACGAAGUAGAUGAAACAGAGAAGACUUUUUAUGAUAAGAUUUAUAAAGAUGCUCAGUCAUCGCUGCCAGCCCCUGCGCCAUCUCCUCCCUCUGCUCUGUGCUACUCCGCCUGUGGCAAUGGAAGAAGAGAUCCCUCGCUCUUCAUUGACAAUGGCUCCAGCAUGUGAAAAGCGGCUUUGCUGGGACAAUGCCCUCUGAGCCAUGUUCCCCUCCAUCGUCAGAUGCCCCCGGCACCAGGGCAUGAUGGUGAGCAUGGGCCAGAAGGACUCCUAUGUGGGCAAUGAGGCCCAGAGCAAGUGUGGUAUCCUGACCCUGAAGUACCCCAUCAAGCACCGCAUCGUCACAAACUGGGACGACAUGGAGAAGAUCUGGCACCACAUUUUCUACAACGAGCUGUGCGUGGCCCUGGAGGAGCAGCUGGUGCUACUGACCGAGGCCCCGCUAAACCCCAAGGCCAACAGGGAGAAGAUGACUCAGAUCAUGUUUGAGACCUUCAACACCCCGGCCAUGUACGCAGCCAUUCAGGCUAUGCUGAUGCUCUAUGCCUCUGGGCGCACCACUGGCAUUGUCAUGGACUCUGGAGAUGGGGUCACCCACACGGUGCCCAUCUAUGAGGGCUACACCCUCCCUCACACCGUCUUGCAUCUGGAUCUGGCUGGCCAGGACCUUACUGACUACCUCAUGAAGAUCCCCACCUAGCGUAGUUACAGCUUCACCGCCAUGGCCAAGUGGAAGAUCGUGCGCGACAUCAAGGAGAAGCUAUGCUAUGUCGCUCCGGACUUUGAGCAGGAGAUGGCCACUGCUGCAUCCUCCUCCUCCCUGGAGAAGAGCUAUGAGCUGCCUGACAGCCAGGUCAUCACUAUCGGCAAAUAAGCGGUUCCGGUGUCCGAGGCACUGUUCCAGCCUUCCUUCCUGGGCAUGGAAUCCUGUGGCAUUCAUGAAAGUACCUUCAACUCCAUCAUGAAGAGUGAGGUGGACAUCCCAAAGACUUGUAUGCCAACACAGUGCUGUCUGGCGGCACCACCAUGUACCCUGGCAUCACCGACAGGAUGCAGAAGGAGAUCACUGCCCUGGCACCCAGCACCAUGAAGAUCAAGAUAUCGUGCCCCCAGAGUGCAAGUACUCAGUGUGAAUCUCUGGCUCCAUCCUGGCCUCACUGUCCACCUGCCUGCAGAUGUGAAUUAGCAAGCAGGAGUACCACGAGUCGGGUCCCUCCAUCGUCCACCGCAAAUGCUUCUAA